rnacentral:lncRNA from 1 species
UCGCCGUGUGAUUUCCCAUCGAUUAUGUAAAUUAUAUAGCUACUCAGAGUAAAUAGGAGGAAACAGAAGAGAACUGAAAACAACUACAUACACAUUAACAUGAUGUCUUAAGUCAAAUGUUGCUAGGAAAGUCAACUAUUACAAUCAAUGUGUUGAAUGUGUGUUUUAUGUUAAAUUAUUACACUUCUCGCUCAGGUUAGAAGGAAGGUUGGCGCUUGUAAAACGUUUUAACCUACUGAACUUUUAUGCACCUGUCCUAAUUCAGGAUCAUGUUGUUCAGUGUUUGUCAUUUGUUGUUGUGGCUCAUGAUUUUUUCUCGUUUCUCGUUUAUAAUAUAGAUUAGAUGUUUGAAUUUGAAUGAUUUUACAUUAGUUAUUUGAGUCUCUCUAUAGCUUCCAGUUCGGUGUGAACCAACGCUCCGUGUUAAAGGCCGUACUUUGACCUAUAGUUUAAUGUAUUAUUAGAAUGAUA